rnacentral:rRNA from 1 species
UGGGGAAUUUUGGACAAUGGGGGCAACCCUGAUCCAGCAAUGCCGCGUGAGUGAAGAAGGCCUUCGGGUUGUAAAGCUCUUUUGUUUGUGAAGAUAAUGACGGUAACAAACGAAUAAGUCCCGGCUAACUUCGUGCCAGCAGCCGCGGUAAUACGAAGGGGACUAGCGUUGUUCGGAAUGACUGGGCGUAAAGGGCGCGUAGGCGGUGAUGUGCGUCAGAUGUAAAAGCCCUCGGCUUAACCGAGGAAAGCCAUCUGAUACGGCAUGACUAGAGAUCAAGAGGGGAGAACGGAAUUGCGUGUGGAGAGGUGAAAUUCGUAGAUAUACGCAGGAACACCGGUGGCGAAGGCGGUUCUCUGGAUUGGAUCUGACGCUGAGGCGCGAAAGCGUGGGGAGCAAA